AUAUGUCAACACAUAUAAGGCGUCUACAAUAAAAGCGGAAGUAAAGGCAAGUAAUAAAACAAGUAGAAGAAGUGAAAAUAACUAGCAACUAAUGAUAUCAGAGCAAAUAUAGAUCUAUCAUCUACACCAAGGUAAAGAAGUAAAGCUAGACAGUAAAAGGAGUCAUAAGAAGUACAAUAUCUGUCUCAAAUGUACAAAAAUGGUGGUCUCUAGUACACUGGUAAAACGCUCAACCUCUCGCAAAAU
rnacentral:lncRNA from 1 species